rnacentral:rRNA from 1 species
GAGAUUGCCGUGCUAGCCGCGGCGUGAAGACGUGGGAUGAAGUCGGUAGGCUGAGUAAGUGGGUUUAAAGGGUGCGCAGGCGGGGAAGUAAGACAGGGGUGAAAAACUGCCGCUCAACGGUAGUCGUGCCAUUGAUACGGCUUUGCUUGAGUUUGGAUGAGGUAGGCGGAAUGGGCAGUGUAGCGGUGAAAUGCAUAGAUAUUACACAGAACACCGAUUGCGAAGGCAGCUUACUAAGCCACGACUGACGCUGAGGCACGAAAGCGUGGGGAGCGAACAGGAUUAGAUACCCCAGUAGUC